GGAGAAAGAAAGGGGCUCCGUCUCCCCGCGCACCCCGCUUUCCCAGAGGCCGGCACCCCCCCGGCGCGGCAGGGGGUGGGUGGGUGGGUGGGUGGGGGGGGGUGCGCCCUCCGCUCGGGGCAGGGGGUGGCACGGCACCCCACGGCCACGCGGGACGGCGUGCGCCCCCUGCCCGCGGACCCCAGCGGCUCGGCGCGGUGCAGCGCAGGUGCAGCCCCGGGACGGCUGCGGCGGGGAGAGCCCGGCGGGCGCGGCCGGCCUCGGGCUGGCUCCCCCCCCCNNNNNNNNNNNNNNNNNNNNNNNNNNNNNNNNNNNNNNNNNNNNNNNNNNNNNNNNNNNNNNNNNNNNNNNNNNNNNNNNGGGGGGGGGGGGGGGGGGGGGGGGGGGGGGGAAGAAGCGAAGCGGGGGGAUCCCGGGCAGCGUCCCCUCCCUCCGCCCCCGCCGCCACUCGCCUGGUUGGGGUCGGUGGCCCGGAAGACGUGGCAGGCCAUGGGGGAGUCGGGGUUGUCGGGCUGCGCCUUGAUCAGUCAUCCCAUUAAACUUUCUGGCACAGCAAACUUUGAAUCCAGUGAAGAACAACAAUGCUCUUUGUUUAAAACUAAGUUUUAAUCUCGAGUCCUGUGUGCUUACCUGUAAGUAUAACAUCCUUCCAGGUAGGAACAUUUGCAAUUUGUUGGGGGGUUCGUUUUGGGGUUUUUUUUUGUAAGGUUUCUCCCCCCAAAAAGGGUAUCAGAUCAGCUUACUAAAACCCCUGUUGUUGAAAUAAUAUAGAGUUUGGUGGCUGUUAGCCACUCAAGCCAGUUGCAAAGCUAGUUAUUGCAGGAGAUAAAGCAACUUCUGCAACAAGAACUUCCACGUUCCCAAUUAUUGCUGCUUUUAUAUAAAGGAGACAAUUACUUCCCUACUAUUCCCCAACCACUGCAUUAACAUACAAAAAAAAAGAGAAAAAAAAAUGAGGAAGAAGAGUACCACAGCUGCUGGAGUCUACUUCUCUCCCUGACAGUGCCCACUACCUCUACCUCAUUUUGUGGUUUGGAAGGCAUCCUGGUCCCCUUCAACUGUCCAGCAAUGGAAACUAAGACAGAAUUUCUUGUCAUCACAAAGCUAAAAGGAAAAUCUUUAUAGUAUUCCACAAAUAUAUUAUUAUAAAGCUUGAACCACAGGCUAGAAAGGUUAGCAGAUCUGUAGUAGAAUGCAGAAAUGAUACAGAAGAGAGAUGCUUCAGAAGGCAAGAGUACUUCCAAAUUCAAAGGUCACAAAUUGUAUCUGUUCAAGAGGAAAAUGCAAAUACUGUUUAGACUUCAACAGUGUAUCACUAUUAAAAUGUUACUGCAACUUCACAAGCCAGUACUGUAUGUCUGGUAAGAGAAGGUACAGCUUACCAGGAACAACAGGGCACUUGUAGUCCCAACACAAUUCCGAGAAUGGUGCCAGCGUAGCUGCCAAAAAAACAACCCAACCAAAACCAAACCAACCAACCCAGAUGGGAACCCCUUAAUUCUGUUUCUCAUCGUUCCUAACUCUCUCCUAACUAAAUCUGUUGUCUUGACUCUGUUGACCAGCAAGCAUCUUUCAUCCCCCAUUCUCAACUGCGAGAAGCAGCAUCACACAGCACACCGGUGAUUCAUGCCAGACGUGCACUUACAUUCCUCUACUCAUUUUAAAGGUAAACUUUUAACACCCCUCUCAAGCUUCCUGCAUGGUUGCAGCAUCCAGUACUUGCCAGUUCAGAAGCAUCACUGGGAAAGAAGCCUGUCUUGCUUUAAUUCGGCCAAGCUUUCAGAUGAAUGUUUUUUUUAAAAAAACACCUGUAACCUGCCUAAGACACAGCAGUGAUGACAUUCUGGCCCCACUAAUGGGGAACAGAAAAAUUCUCUGCAGUUUCAGUAGUACCAAGAACAUCAGAACAUUAUUUUUCAGAUUCAGAGGUAAUUCACAGGGGAAUUAAGCAACAGGGCCACUGUCAGCGGCAGAGAAGUAUUUUCCUAAGUGUGGCAUAAAGACACUGAACACUAGGCUGCAUAACAAAAUACACAAGUGUAGUCAUAUGUUUGAGUUACCACCUAACCAUGGUGAUACUGCUCAAUAUAGGGUUAAACACGAUGCAUUAUCCUUUAAUUAAAGAGAACCAUUACUCAAUAGUUUCACUAUGUAGGCCUGGUUACUCUGUAUAAACGAUGCAGGCUUUACCAGCAACUACACCUUUGAAGAAGGAACUAAAGACUGAUGAAAAGGAAACAUCCUGCUCCAGAAGGCACCGGAGGCCGGAUGAUUGACAAAGCAGCAUGAACUAGGGGAAAAGUAAAGGCGGCAGGGGGAGAUCACAACCACCGACUCAAUUAAAGACCUAAAAGACUUACCCCCCACACACUCCUUGAGCAUGCGCUGUAGAAUAAAAGAACACUGUACUUUUAAUUUGAAGCAGAGAAAACCUUAGCCCAAUAGAAAUGGUGGCACAUCAGCAACUACCAAUAAUGAUUUUGGGGAAGGGCUUCGGUAACUAAGUGGAUCAACCUAAAACUGUAUAAAUUGCUUGCCUGUUUAACUGCAGAGUGUGCCAGCUCUGCGGAGUCACCCCUGGCACCCAUCUCUGCGCAGAGAUGAAAUAACAAAUAUCUCGUAAGAUAACUCGUGUAAGAUUGGCUCAUUGCACACCGGGUACGAAACCCCACUUGGAGGCACAACAGAAGGAUGUUAGAAUGGUUAAACUGCAUGAAAACCUUGGAUAGAGAAAUGCAAAUACUUAUUCUAUGAACAAGAUACAGAUUUAGAAAAAUCUAUUUGAGAGAUGUAUAAACAGGAAAAAUAAUGUAAAAAAAGAAUAGGCCCCAAUAGAAAUGUAACAUGAUACUAUUUAAAGAGCAAGUAAUAAUGCAGAAAUGUUAGUAUAAUUAAAUUACUGUUUUAAGCUACUGCAAAUAUACAAUGUAUGGUAUAUAUUCUGUUAUCAUUAAAAUGCUGAAUAUUGGUUAUAUCACUGGAAAUCUUUACGCUCGUCUUUUUAACAAUUAACCCAGAUGUUAGAGUAUUUCCCUACAAUGUAAGAAGUAGGAUGAGAAUUAUGGCGAUAUGAUUGUGUACAGUUCCAGAUAUAAGCUGCACUGGAGAAAACCUGAAGUCCUUAUCCCAUUGUCAG
rnacentral:lncRNA from 1 species